rnacentral:rRNA from 1 species
AUGGACUUCCUCGCGCUCCCCCGCCGCGACCUCCAGGCGCUGGCCAAGCGCAACGGCGUCCGCGCCAACCUGAGCAACGCCGCCAUCGCCGACGCCCUCGCCGCGCUCCCCGCGGUCGACGGGAUCGAGGAGUACGUCGAGCAGCCGGUCGUUGUCGAAGUGGCCAAGCCGGCGGUUCAGGCGGUCGUGGAGGAGGUGAAGAAGAAGAAGACGAAGAAGCAGGAGGCGGAGGAGAAGAAGAAACAGGAAGCGGAGGAGAAGAAGAGGAAGCAGGAGGAGGAAGAGGAGAAAAGGAGGCAGGAGGAGGAAGAGGAGAAAAGGAGGCAGGAGGAGGAAGAAGAGAAAAGGAAGCAGGAGGAGGAGGAAAAGGAGAGGAAGAGGAAGAAGCAAGAGGAGAUCUCGCUGGAGGUCAUCUUACUGGUGGACAGCGAGGAAGAGGAGGAAGAGAAAGCCCCAGCCGCCGGGCGCGGUCGCGGUCGCGGAAGAGGACGCGGACGCGGACGCGCUGCCGGCGGGCGCGCACGGAUCGAGCCUGUGGCUGCUCCGGCCACGAGGAGAAGGGCUGCGGCGAGCAAUACCGCGACGGAGGAUGCACCUGCGGAGCCUGUGGCGGCACCAGCUACGAGGAAAAGGGCUGCGGCAAGCAAGGCCGAGACGGAGGAUAUCGCUGCGGAGGCCGUGACGGCCCGUGCCACUCGUGCUCGGAGCCAGACGACGGCGGCGCCGGUCGCCGAGGAAGAGGCACCCAAGACAAGACGGGCGUCGAGGCGGGCCGCGGCGACGAAGACUGGUGCGGACCAGGAAGAAGAAGGAAAGGGGACACAAGCUGUCGCCUCUGAUAUGGAAACUGCGGAAAUGGAAGAAGAUGCCACGAAUACUCAGAACGAGGAGCACAACGAGGUUGAGGAACAGAGCCAUGACGGCCAAGGGGUAGUGGUCGCGGAUACACCAGCACAGGUGCAAGAAGAGCCACCACUGGAGGAGGAGGAGGACGGUAGGCAAGAAUCGCCUGCCGUUGGCGUGGGGCGGCGAGGUGCCAGACGACGCGCACGGCCCGAGCCUGUGGCGUCUCCGGCUACGAGGAAAAAGGCUGCAACAAGGAAGACCGUGACAUGGGUUGACGCUCCGGCUGCAGAGGCCGUGCCGGCUCGGGCCACUCGCGCUCGGAGCCAGAGCACGGUGGCUGAGGAGGCACCCAAGGGAAGACGGACGUCGAGGAAGACUGCUGCGCAGCAGGAAGAGGAAGGAGAAGGCCAGCAAGCCGUUGUCUCUGAUGCGGAAGCUGCUGCGCCUGCGCCUGUUUCCUCGGACGAAGCAGCUGGUGAUGCUGCAGAGAUGGAGGAAGAAGCCACGAAUCCGCAGAACCAGGUUGAGGAAGAAGAACCACCGGUGGAGGAGGAGAAAUCGCCUGCCGUUCGCGUGGGACGGCGCGGUGCCCGCGGGCGCGCACGGGUUGAGCCUGUGGCGGCUCCGGCUACGAGGAAAAGGGCCGGAACAAGCAAGACCGAGACAGAGGAGGCGCCCGUGGAGGCCGCGCCGGCUCGGACCACUCGUCGCGCUCGCAGCCAGACCACAGUCGUUCCGGUGGCCGAGGAAGCGGUGCCCAAGACAAGACGGGCGUCGAGGAGGGCUCCGGCGAGGAGGACUGGUGGGCAGCAAGAUGAGGAAGAAGAGCAAUGCCAGCAAGCAGCUGUUGUCGAAACUGUUGCGCCUGCGCCGGUUUCCUCUGACGAGGGAGCUGAUGGCGCUGCAGCAAUGGAAGCAGCCAUGGAUCCUCAGACUGAGGAGCAAAAGGACCUAGUUGAGGAGCAGAACAAGGAAGAGGACCGUGAGACAGGUGAAAUAGCUGCACCUACUGAAGAAAUGGAAAAGGAGGCCAUGGAUAUUCAGAACGAAGUGCAAAACAAGCUGGUUGAGGACCAGUGUCAGGAAGAUGCAGCAGGUGGUGUGCCUGAUAUGGAAACUGCACCGGCUUCCUCUGACGACGAAGAUGAUGAUACUGAAGAAAUAGAAGAGGCACGUGAGACAGGUGAUGUUUCUGAUAUGGAAACUGCUGCACCUGCACCGGUUUCUUCAGAUGAGGGACGUGACGCUACUGCAGUAAUGGAAGAAGAGGCCGUGCAUCUUCAGAACGGUGAGCAAACGGAGCUGCUGGUUGAGGAGCCGAGCCAGGAAGAUGCAGGUGAUGUGCCUGCUAUGGAAACUGCACAGGUUUCCUCUGACGACGAAAAUGAUGAUACUGAAGAAAUAGAAGAGGAGCAGGGUCAGGAAGACGAAGGUCGUGUGGAAACUGCUGUGCCGGUUUCUUCAGACGAGGCAAGUGGUGGUACCGAAGAAAUGGAAGAAGAGGACCAGCAAGCUGUUGUUUCUGAUGCGGAAACUGUUGCGCUUUCCUCCGACGAAGGAGCUGGUGAUGCUGCAGAGCUGGAAGCAACCAUGGAUGCUCAGAACGAGCUAGUUGAGGAGCAGGGCCAGGAAGACGAAGGUGAUGUCCUUGACAUGGAAACUGCUGUGCCUGCACUGGCAACCUCAGACGAGGGAAGUGACGAUGACGCUGAAGAAAUGGAAGCAGCCAUGGAUGCUCAGGCCGAUGAGCAAACGGAGCUAGUUCAGGAACAGGAUCAGGAAGAAGGAUUAGCAACGGAUGUACAUGCCAGUCCCGAGCUAGUCGAAGAAGAGGCAGCACCAGUGGCAGAAGAUUGCACGGUUGUUUCAUCAGUGGAUGAGCAGCAGAACGAUGUCCAGCAGUGUGAGCAGUCUCCAGUCGCCCUGAAUGUUGUUGAUCAGGAAGGCCAUUUCCCGGCUGAAACUGUCUCCAGCGAGGGGCCACUGGACGUGGAGAUUCAUCAUGCCGGUGAGGCCGCUGAGGAAGCCGAGGAUCAUCUGUCCACUGAAGAGACUGAAAUGGUGCCCAUGGAAGCGCCGGAAUCCGGUGAGGCCACUGAGGAAGAUGAGGAUAAUCAGUCCACUGAAGAGACUGAAAUGAUGAUGCCCGUGGAAGAGACCGCUGAGGAAGUUGAGGAGAUUCAGCUGUCCAGUGAAGAGACUGAAAUGGUGCCCGUUGAGGAAGCUGAGGAGGUUCAUCAUUCCAGUGAAGAGACAGAAAUGGUGCCCGUUGAAGAAGCUGAGAAGAUUCAUCAGUCCAGUGAAGAGACAGAAAUGGUGCCCGUCGCCGAGUCGGCGGCUCAGGCCACACCGGUGCCGCAGGAGGCUGAUGUGGAGGUUGGUUUCACCUGCCAUGCAGACACUGCCAUUGAGAAGGAGAGUGAAGUGCUUCAGAGUGCAGCCAAAGCCAAUGAGGAGAAGGAAGACCUGGUUGAAGAGGAGGAGAGUGAAGUGCUGUUUGGUGCUCUUUUCCAGAGCGCAGCCAAAACCAGUGAGAACAAGGAUGAGCUGGCUGUUGAAGAGUUGUUGCAGCAUGACAUGGAUGAGGCUGCUGCAGAGGAUGACAAUGAAGUUUCAGUCCUUGGUGCUCUGUUCCAGAGCGCAGCCAAAGCCAAUCAGGACAAGGGAGAUGUGGCUGUUGAAGAGGACAAUGAUGUGUCAAUCCUUGGUGCUCUGUUCCAGAGCGCAGCCAAAACAAAUGAGAACAAGGAACAACAACUGGUUGUUGAUGAGGUGCAGUAUAACAUGGAUGAGUGUGAGCUGGCUGUUGAAGAGUUGUUGCAGCAUGACAUGGAUGAGGCUGCUGCAGUGGAAGAGGAUGACAAUGAAGUUUCAGUCCUUGGUGCUCUGUUCCAGAGCGCAGCCAAAGCCAAUCAGAACAAGGGAGAUGUGGCUGUUGAAGAGGACAAUGAUGUGUCAAUCCUUGGUGCUCUGUUCCAGAGCGCAGCCAAAACAAAUGAGAACAAGGAACAACAACUGGUUGUUGAUGAGGUGCAGUAUAACAUGGAUGAGUGUGUUGCAGAGCAGGAGAAUGAGGAAGAUAUGGCUGUCUUUGGCACUCUGUUUCAGAGCGCGGCCAAGUCUAGUGAGAACAAGAAAGAUCUGGUUGUUGAGGAGAAUGAGGUGCCAUUCUUAGGUGCUCUGUUUCAGAGCGCAGCCAAGUGCCACGAGAACAAGGAAGACCUUCAUCUGGUUGCUGGUGAGGCGCAGCAUGACAUGGAUGAGGCUGUUGAAGAGGAGGACAAUGAAGUAGAAGCAACCUUUGGUGCUCUCCUUGAGAGCGCAGCCAAAGCCAAUGAGAAGGAAGGUAUGGAUGUUGAAGAGGAGGAGAAGGAUGAAGACCGAAUCACCUUGGCUGCUUGGCUGCUGCUCCACAGAGCAGCCAAGGCCCAUGAAAUCAAGGAAGAAGAUCUGAUUGUUGAUGACACAGAAGAGCCUGUUGAAGAGGAGCCAAAGAAGGAGAGUGUUGAGGCCACUGUGACAGAGGAGAGUGGCAUCACCAGUGAGCUGACAAAUGUGCCCGUCGAGGAGGACGACGGCGGCGUGGUGGCCGCCGACGACAUGCUACUCAGCCCAGCCACAAUGUUUGAGGGCGCUGUACAAGUGAUCACCGUCGAGAACCUGUCGCAAGCCACGGUAACUGACGAUGAGGGUGCAGUCAAGGGCGGCCUUGCAGAUGUGUCCGUUGAAGAGGAUAGAGUGGUGGCCCCCAUGGAGGAGAAAGUAGACGAGGUGCUCAUCGUCGACAACCUGUCGCAACCCACGGUGACUGAUGACGAAUGGGCAGCCAGGGAGUUUGCUUUCACCGGUGACCUCACACCGGUGGCUGACACCGCCAGAGACGAGUGCGCGAAGGAAGUGGUCACCGUCGACUACCUGUCGCAGGCCACAGUGACAGAUGACGAGUGGGCAGUCAAGGAGAGCGCUCUCGCCGGCGACCGCUCGCCGGUGUUCGACGCUGCCGGAGACUGCAGUGGUCACGUCAUUUCGCCGCUGUUCGCAGGCUUAUUUGAGGAUGCCACCAAGUUCCUGUCCAUGGACUCCACGGUGUCUGAAGCUGCUGCUGAGAAGAACGUUGCUGAACCUGUGGCAGUGGAAAAGGAGAAGGAGGGAGGCAACGAAUCUGAAGCACUGGGCAGCCUGAGCCUGAGGAAGCUUAGGGUCCAGCUCAAGGAGAAGGUGGCAGUGGCACAAGAGAAUGAAGUGCUCAAGGAGAAGGUGGCGGUGGCACAAGAGAAUGAAGUGAAGGAGGGUGAGAAAUCAUCUGUGCCACUGGAUAAGCUUAGCCUGCGGAGGCUUAAGCUGAAGCUCAGGGAGACACUGAUUGCUCACAAGAACAGAGAAGCAAACAGGGUGCCCCUUGGAAGGUUGGACCAGACGCUGAAUUCAGCUCACAAGAACAGAGAGCCGACUAGGGUGCCCCUGGGCAGGCUGGACGAGAACUCGGCGUCUAAGUUGCAGAAGAGAGAGCCCAAUAACAGGGUGCCCCUCGGCAGGCUGGACGACAACUCGGCGUCAAAAAUGCAGAACAGAGAGCCGAGUUCGGCGUCGAAAAUGCAGAACAGGGAGCCGUAUUCGGCGUCGAAAAUGCAGAAGAGGGAGCCGAAUUCAGCGUCGAAAAUGCUGAACAGAGAACCAAUCAGGAUGCGCCUUGGAAGGCUGGACGAGAACGCGUGUUGA